AGAAUGAACGUUGGCGGCGUGGAUUAGGCAUGCAAGUCGAACGAAUCCCAUCUGGGUAACUGGGUGGGGGAAGUGGCGAAAGGGGCAGUAAUGCAUGGGUAACUUGCCCUGGAGUUCGGGAUAGCCUUUCUAACGAAUGGGUAAUACCGAAUGCCGUACUGUGGGGGCAUCCUCGUAGUACGAAAGUUCCGACGCUCCGGGAGAGGUCCAUGUGGUAUUAGCUAGUUGGUGGGGUAACGGCCCACCAAGGCCAAGAUGCCUAGCAGGUGUGAGAGCACGACCUGCGUCACUGGCACUGGGACACUGGCCAGACUCCUACGGGAGGCUGCAGUCGAGGAUCUUCGGCAAUGGGCGAAAGCCUGACCGAGCGACGCCGCGUGUGCGAUGAAGGCCUUCGGGUUGUAAAGCACUGUCGAGGGAAGAAAGGCGCAAGCUUUGAUCGAUCUCUGGAGGAAGCUCGGGCUAAGUUCGCGCCAGCAGCCGCGGU
rnacentral:rRNA from 1 species